AAAAAGUUGUUUACUCGCAUCAUCAUUUUUGUGUGUGUGUUUUUUUCCCCUCCGACGUGUUUACCAAUCAACGAAUCAUCGUCCUUGAUUUCGUAACAUUGGCCAAUCAAAGGCAAUAACAUGGGAUUUAAAAUUUCUCUCCAUAUAAAAUUAAAAAGUGUUUACUUAAAUGUAACGUAAUUAUCGUGGAAUCAUUUCGAAAUAUAUUUACAUUAAAAACUUUCUAAGAAAAAUAGCAUUAAAAUUCUUUCCCGAUACGAAAAUUUAUCGCGCGUAGAUCACAAAUAAAAAAAAGAAAAAACAAGAAAAAAAAGUGUGCAAUUUUUAGUAAAACAUCGAAGGUGUGUUUUUAUACCGACAUGUUUGUGAUAAAUGGCAGGAAAAAUCAUCAAGAAUAUCAAGACCUGUUUCGGAUAUUUUGUAUUCUUCAUUUAUAUUCAUCGAGUGUUCGGGUGGCACCCAAAAAGAAAUCAAGCCCCGAGCGACUGCCAUGUUUUAGUGUAUCCUACAGAAUUUGACAGUAUAGUUUACAUAUUGGUGUAUAGGCAGUUUCCUUGUUCAGACAAGGAAUGUUUGACCUCAACCGAAUUCUUAUAAAAAUUAAUUAUAGAUAACAGAGUAUUGGUUCUAUAGUAUCUGUUAAUUAUCUCGCUUUUGGUUACAGAUAAUAAUUAUCUCGAAC
rnacentral:lncRNA from 1 species